rnacentral:rRNA from 1 species
UACGUAGGGUGCAAGCGUUAAUCGGAAUUACUGGGCGUAAAGCGUGCGCAGGCGGUUGUGCAAGACAGAUGUGAAAUCCCCGGGCUUAACCCUGGGAACUGCAUUUGUGACUGCACGGCUAGAGUGUGUCAGAGGGGGGUAGAAUUCCACGUGUAGCAGUGAAAUGCGUAGAUAUGUGGAGGAAUACCGAUGGCGAAGGCAGCCCCCUGGGAUAACACUGACGCUCAUGCACGAAAGCGUGGGGAGCAAACAGG